ACUAGAUAAAGCAACAGGACCAAGACUAGAUAAAACAACAGGACCUAGACUAGAUAAAGCAACAGGUGCUAGACUAGAUAAAGCAACAGGACCUAGACUAGAUAAAGCAACAGGACCAAGACUAGAUAAAGCAACAGGACCUAGACUAGAUAAAGCAACAGGACCAAGACUAGAUAAAGCAACAGGACCAAGACUAGAUAAAGCAACAGGACCUAGACUAGAUAAAGCAACAGGACCUAGACUAGAUAAAGCAACAGGACCUAGACUAGAUAAAGCAACAGGACCAAGACUAAAUAAAGCAACAGGACCAAGACUAGAUAAAGCAACAGGUGCUAAAAUGGACUUCAUAUGAACUAGACAAAGCAUGCCAUAUCUGUACAUUCACUCACAUAGCUGCAUUCUGGUUGUUUUGGUGACUGUGGACAUUCAAACCAUCUAAGCAAACUGUAUCUGUAGGUUUAGGUUAUUGUACUAGGGUGGGUUUGCCCUUCUUUGAAAUAUGAAAUGAAAAACCCAGGACUAAUAUUGACAAUUCAUGUAUCCCAAAUGGCACCCUAUUCCUUGGACAGUGCACUACUUCUGACCAGAGCUCUAUGGGUCGUGGUAAAAAGUAGUGCACUACAUAGGGAGUAGGGUGUCAUUUAGUGCGCAAACAAUAUUCUUUCAUAGUGGAUGUAACCUACCAUGUAUAAUACAACAAUGGGACCAGCUAGACUGAACGUGUGCUGCAAAACACAUACAGUAAUUACACAUGGAGAUUUUACUUUUUAAAUGGUGUUGUUUAGAUAAAAGAAACAAUCCAUACAUUAUAUAUUGUAUUGUAUUUUGCAAAGUGUUUGAAAUAUAAUGAUAUGUUUUUUUUUAUUGUUAAAUAUUAUAAUGUCAAGUGUAACAUCAGUGGUGAAAAAAAAAAAUAUCAACAUCAUAUCAAGUUUGACAUAAAAAUGAAUAUUUUUUUGCCACAAUCCAGUAUUCACUUUCCAUGAAACCUCACGUCAUUUAGAAUGUCAAGGAUGGUUUCCCAAUAUUCUGUUUAUACGAGUUGAUGACAGACAAUCAGAUAAAGAAGUCCCUAGAGCUCACUACUAGCCUCCAAGGCCAGGGCCCCAUUCCAAACCAAACACUCACAUCCUAUCCCUGGGUCCUAGUUGGGCCUUGUUCCAAAACCAAACCCUCACACCCUAUCUCUGGGUCCUAGUUGACUUCCCCUCAUGGCUUUUGAAUGACAGGUCAUUGUAGGUCAAGUAAUUUAUACUGAACAAAAAUCUAAAUGUAACAUGCAACAAUUAAAAAUAUUUUUCUGAGUUACAGUUCAUGUAAGGAAAUCAGUCAAUUGAAAUAAAUGUAUUAGGUCCUAAUCUAUGGAUUUCACAUGACUGGGCAGGGGCGCAGCCAUGGGUGGGCCUGGGAAGGCAUAAGCCCACCCACUGGGGAGCCAAGCUCACCCACUGGGGAGCCAAGUCCAGCCAAUCAGAAUGAGUUUAUCCCCAUAAAAGGGCUUUAAUACAGACAGAAAUACUCCUCAGUUUCAUCAGCUGUCCGGGUGACUGGUCUCAGAGGAUCCCGCAGGUGACGAAGAAGCCAGAUGUGGAGGUCCUGGGCUGGCAUGGUUACACAUGGUCUGCGGUUGAGAGGCUGGUGGGACAUACUGCCAAAUUCUCUAAAAUGAUGUUUGUCGGCGGCUUAUGGUAGAGAACUGAACAUGAAAUCUCUGGCAACAGCUCUGGCGGACAUUCCUGCAGUCAGCAUGCUCCCUCAAAACUUGUGUUGUGUGACAAAACUGCACAUUUUAGAGUGGCCUUUUAUUGUCCCCAGCACAAGGUGCAUCUGUGUAAUGAUCAUGCUGAUUCAUUAUCUUCUUGAUAUGCCACACCUGUCAGGAGGAUGGAUUAUCUUGAUAAAUGAUAAAAAUGUUCACUAACAGGGAUGUAAACAAAUUUGUGCACACAAUUUGAGAGACAUACUCUUUUUGUGCAUAUGGAAAAUGUUAUUUUAUUUCAGCUGGAUGGAACACUUUACAUGUUACGUUUAUAUUUUUGUUCAGUAUAAGUGAAACUCCAGGUGUUUUUCCCCAAUCACAUGUCCUGACUAGAAAAUAACUUUGGUUCCUAAUUAAUUAGUUCACUUAUUUUUCUGGACAGGUAACAGGGUCCAGACAAAGUCAUCCAACCCUUUUCGAUUAGCUAAAAUGGAAGUAAAAAAGGAUGUGGAGAGGAGGGCCAGGAAAUACUUACCCAAGACCAUAAAUGACAGGAAACUGUUUUAGUGCCUGCAGAUGUACAUAUUUGAUAUACUGUCAGUGAAAGCUGUCUACUUUCUUUUAACUGAACCUUUAUUCAUUCAGGCGAGUCAAUUAAGAACGAAAUCUUAUUUACAAUGACGACCUGGUAGCCACAACAGUAUGGAUUGUUUGAAAGUAGUUUUGAUAUAUAAAGAUUAAGCUGAGAAUGUAUAUGGUUCAUAUUCAUUAAAAAAUACAAAUAAAGAAUACUUUCUUGUUUGUUUGAGUGACAGGGAGGUUGAGAGAAUGCAUGAGAGAAAUGGUAUCCUUCCAUGCUUGUUUAGAGGGGUGUGUGUGUGUGUGCCUGUCUUGUAUGGGGUGUGUCUCUAGUUUCCCUGGGUAUUUGAUGGUGUGUACCUGCCAAGCUCUCUCAGUGGACACAGUGGAAUGUGCUGGGAAGAUCAGAGUGCUCCAACCCAGAC
rnacentral:lncRNA from 1 species